ACACAUAUCACCCACCACGCAAAGAUAGAUGCAUAUGCUACGCACAUCAUUCUGCACAUAUACAUACAUCAUCCUGUCCGUAUAGCCCCGGGGGGGGGAGGGGAGAGAAAGAAGUCGGGACAUUUUCCUUUGAUUUUAUAUGGAAUUGCUGAAAAGACGUCAGCGUCCACCUUCUUCUUCUUCUUCAUUAUCAUCAUCAUCGUCUUCUUCUUCUUCUUCUUCUUGCUGCUGCUCUUGUUGUUGUUAUCGCCCUCUGUGCUCUGUAAAAGCCGCAUGAGCUGGAAUCUGAGCUAGGGGGUAGGGUUAGGAAUUUGGCGGGAAUAUUUUUUUUUUUUUUUUCCUGUCCGAGCUUGCUAGGCACUGUUUGGUGCUGCUGGAGGAAUUGAACAGUUUUGUGGAAGUUUGGAUUGAGAAUUUGGUCCAGGCCGGCAAAAUGAAUUCUACGUAUACGCAGUUUGUUGCCUCCAAAAGAAUGGGCAUAUGUGAUCCAAUCCAUCAACUCGGGAUGUGGGGAGAUUUAAAGGGAAAUGGCUUCGCAACCCCAUCUGCAGCAACCAUGAUUCUAGAAGUCGAGAAAAGCCUAGACAAUCCGAUGCCAGUGAUUGAGAAAACACUGGACAACCAGAUGGAGGACAUGUCACAUGGAUCUUUAGGACCUUCUAACAAGUAUGAACACGAAGCAAGUAAACCAAUUGAGAAGGUACUGAGACGCCUGGCACAAAACCGUGAGGCUGCCCGUAAAAGUCGUUUGCGGAAAAAGGCCUAUGUUCAGCAGUUAGAAAGUAGUAAACUGAAACUGAUUCAGCUGGAGCAAGAACUAGACCGAGCGAGACAACAGGGUCUAUAUGUAAGUGGUGGAUUAGAUUCUAGUCUGCUAGGUUAUUCUGGAUCUCCAAACUCAGAUCUCAGCCCCUCCCUUACUGAACCUGCAGCCAUCACUGCAUUUGAGAUGGCAUAUGGACACUGGGUGGAAGAACAAACUCGACGAAUAAAUGACUUGAGGAAUGCUUUGCAUUCUCAGGUUGGUGAUAUUGAAUUAGGCAUUCAUGUUGAGAGUUGCAAGAAUCACUAUAUUGAUCUUUUCCACAUUAAAGCAACUGCGGCAAAGGCUGAUGUCUGCUACAUUAUAUCCGGUGUGUGGAAGACACCAGCUGAGCGUCUUUUCCUUUGGAUUGGAGGUUUUCGUCCUUCAGAGAUUCUAAGGGUUCUCAUGCCACAUCUUGAGCUCUUGACAGAAGAACAACAUCAGAGUGUUUCUACCCUCGCUCAAUCAUGUCAGCAGGCAGAAGAUGCCCUAACGCAAGGAAUGCUUAAGCUUCACCAGUUUCUGGCAGAUACGGUUUCAGCAGGCCAACUAGGUGAAGAAAAUUACCUCCAACAGAUGCAUUCUGCAAUAGAAAAGUUGGAACAUUUAAUACGGUUCGUAAACCAGGCGGAUAACCUUAGGGAAUUAACCCUAAACCGGAUGUCUCACUUCUUAACAACCCGCCAAGCAGCGAGGGGCCUUCUCGCCUUGGGGGAGUACCUUCAACGACUGCGCACUCUGAGCUCACUUUGGGCAAACAGUCCUCGUGAGGCUGCUUAACAAUGUGAACCUCAAGAAUCUCCCCGCCUUUCAAACUCCAUCAGCUUCGCCAGCCUCCCGUGCAAGUCUGGUAUGCAUAUGGAUACGGAGCGCAAAUCUCAACUGCUGUCAACUUGGAGGCCACUUGCCAUGAUUGCCGAUUUGUGAAUAUGUUGAUCUGUUGUGUCAUGGAAGUUUGAAGUUGCAGUUUCCUUUCAUAUACAUAUAUUUCUUUGCCGGUAGGCGUAGUCUUGAACAAUAUAUAUGAGAUAUAAAAAAAAAAAUGCAGUGAGGUUUGGUAUUGAUAGUGUCAACUGUAUAUUGCAGCAUCUAUACUAAUGUUAGGGCUAUUUUUGGAUGCUUUGGGAAUGAACAGUUGCUCAGUAGAACAAAAAAUGGUCUAACAUUUUAAAUGUACUCUGGACUUCUGGGGACUGAGGGAAUAUGAACAUAUGAUAACAAUUGUAAUAGAAAAACAUUAAUAGAAUGGUGUUUUCAUUUCAUAUGGUUUUCCUGUUAAUCCACUUCAUAUUGAAUACA